rnacentral:rRNA from 1 species
UACGUAGGGUGCGAACGUUGUUCGGAAUCACUGGGCAUAAAGAGCGCGUAGGCGGUCUGAUAAGUCCUGUGUGAAAGCCCCCGGCUUAACCGGGGAAUUGCACAGGAUACUGUCAGGCUAGAGUGCAGGAGGGGAGAGCGGAAUUCCUGGUGGAGCGGUGAAAUGCGUAGAUAUCAGGAGGAACGCCGGUGGCGAAAGCGGCUCUCUGGUCUGCAACUGACGCUGAGGAGCGAAAGCGUGGGGAGCGAACAGG